GGGGUUCAAGUGAUGAUCGAUACGCAUAGUUCAAAUGAUUAAUUAUUUUAUGAUUAUAAAACUUUUUUAUAGUCUUUCGCUCCUAUCUGAUGAUACCC